rnacentral:lncRNA from 1 species
UCAUUUACUUGCCUUUCAAUUUAUGCCUUUUACAAGUAAACAUACUUGUAUGGCCGCACAUUGAUUGGUUUUGAUCAUUCUUUUAGGUUGAUUUGAUGAUCAAUGGAACGUGGUGGAGGCAGUUAUUUGGGCUCCUAGAACAGGUCUUGAUAGGCUUGUAUCACUUUUUGCAUGGCAAAAUUCAUUUGUGGUGAUGGUUGAGGUUUUGUCAACAUAC